CAGGUUACUUCGUAUCGCCAGUAGUUGGCGAUAAGCGACUACCUUUAUGAAUGAGUCAUUGAUUCAUUAAUUCAACCGAUUCGCUCAAGCCACUGAUUCAUUCGUGAACCCUCCAGCUGCAGUGCCACGGUGUUCUGUCUUCGUUUGGACAAAUUUUCCUUCGAGCGAAAACAGACCGUUUUAACUCGCAACAGUGUGUUUAAAAUCCUAAUAUUAACAAUGAAAUCAACACGCACCAUAUUGAAGAAAAGUGGACACCAAGCAGGCCAGCCGGAGGAGCCUCCAUCCUGUACAGCCCAUCACUGAGAGGAUCCGUGUAUGCUUUCCUCCAUACAGAGGUCACUAGGAGGAUGGUUUGUUGUAGCCGAACAGCCCCACAGGGAAGUACUUCACAUGAGUGGGCCACUGUGAC